CGGGGCGUAGCGCAGUCUGGUAGCGCACUUGACUGGGGGUCAAGGGGUCGAAGGUUCGAAUCCUUUCGCCCCGA
rfam:Plesiocystis pacifica SIR-1 1103186006222, whole genome shotgun sequence.